AUGAACGCUGGCGGCGUGCCUAAUACAUGCAAGUCGAGCGAACAGACGAGGAGCUUGCUCCUCUGACGUUAGCGGCGGACGGGUGAGUAACACGUGGAUAACCUACCUAUAAGACUGGGAUAACUUCGGGAAACCGGAGCUAAUACCGGAUAAUAUAUUGAACCGCAUGGUUCAAUAGUGAAAGACGGUUUUGCUGUCACUUAUAGAUGGAUCCGCGCCGCAUUAGCUAGUUGGUAAGGUAACGGCUUACCAAGGCAACGAUGCGUAGCCGACCUGAGAGGGUGAUCGGCCACACUGGAACUGAGACACGAUCCAGACUCCUACGGGAGGCAGCAGUAGGGAAUCUUCCGCAAUGGGCGAAAGCCUGACGGAGCAACGCCGCGUGAGUGAUGAAGGUCUUCGGAUCGUAAAACUCUGUUAUUAGGGAAGAACAAAUGUGUAAGUAACUAUGCACGUCUUGACGGUACCUAAUCAGAAAGCCACGGCUAACUACGUG
rnacentral:rRNA from 1 species